AUAAACAUUUUUUAGCUCAACUCUAAAUUGGAUUCCUGUAUAAUAAGCUAAAAGUAUUUUUCUUCUAAUUAUAUAAACUAAUAAAUAAAAACUAUUUCUUUCAUCACUGAACACUGAAGAACACUCAAAGAGUUAUUGCAAUUCAACUCUAGUCAAGAACAAUCAAUGGAGCCAACAAAUGUAGCAGUCUUUGAAAACCAGCAAGUCUCUGCUGACCCUUUGCCUUUUGCAAGAAGUUAUCAGUUGGAAGCCCUUGAGAUUGCAUUAAAGCAGAACACAAUUGUUUACUUGGAGACUGGUUCUGGAAAGACCUUGAUUGCUAUUAUGCUUCUUAGAAGCUAUGCUUACCUUCUUCGAAAACCGUCUCCUUACAUAGCUGUUUUCUUGGUUCCGACUGUUGUUCUAGUGACUCAGCAAGGAGAUGCUCUGAUGUUGCAUACCGACUUAAAAGUGGGCAAAUAUUGGGGAGAAAAGGGUGUUGAUUACUGGAAUGCUUCUACGUGGCAACAACUAGUGGACGAUCAUGAGGUACUUGUUAUGACACCAGCAAUAUUACAUGCUGCUUUGAGGCACCAUUUUUUACAAAUGGGCAUGAUAAAAGUUAUAAUAUUUGACGAGUGUCACAAUGCACGAGGCAAGCACCCCUAUGCCAGUAUAAUGAUGGAAUUUUAUCAUCGCCAGUUAACCCGUGAGAAUGCACAACUUCCAAGAAUAUUUGGGAUGACUGCUUCCCCUAUAAAGUCUAAAGGUUCCAGCACGGCAGAUAGUUAUUGGCAAAAGAUUCGUGACCUCGAGAAUCUCAUGCAUUGCAAGGUAUACACGUGUAGCAGUGAAUCUGUUCUGGCAGAUUAUAUCCCAUUUUCAAAUCCGAAGCUGAAAAUAUAUGAACAUGUGGAUAUUCCUUCCAAAUUGUUUCAUACAUUAGUUCAUGACCUGGAAAGGUUGAAAGAAAAGCAUGAAUGUUUGAUUUCACAGUCAAAUCUGUCUUUUAUGAGAUAUGGAUCUGCAAGAGGACGUUUAUCAAAACUUCAUUCGGAUUUCUUAUUUUGUUUGAGUGAGAUGGGUGCUUGGCUGGCUUUCAGGUCCUGUGAAGAAAAUGAUUUCCUUUCAUCGGACGAUGCAUGUGUUAGAGAUUUCUGUUUGGGUGCAUCUACGAUUUUCUCGGCUCACUUACCUUCUGGACCACAUUGGUCAAUUGGAGAGGAUAUUCAGGCAAAUGUGGAUGCUGGAUAUUUGUCAUCCAAAGUUAAUUGUCUUCUAGAGUCUCUUCUCGAGUACAGGGACCGGAAGGAUUUGAGAUGCAUCAUAUUUGUUGAGAGAAUUAUUACAGCCAUUGUUCUUCGGUCUCUAUUGAAUGAGUUGUUUCUGGAACGAAGUGGUUGGAGAACUGAGGUCACAACAGGGCGUAUUACUACGUUCAAACAAAAUAAAAUUGUUGAAGAAUUUCGAAAGGGGUUGGUGAACAUUAUUGUAGCGACAUCGAUUCUUGAAGAGGGCUUGGAUGUUCGAAGUUGCAACCUUGUCAUUAGAUUUGAUCCCCCAACUACUGUUUGUAGCUUUAUACAAUCACGUGGAAGAGCUCGAAUGCAAAACUCCGACUUUCUUCUGAUGGUCAGGAAAGGAGAUGAUGCAACCCUUACUCGCAUGCAAAACUAUAAAGCUAGUGUGGAGAUAAUGCGGCAAGAAUCAUUACGCCAUGCUUCUAUUCCGUGUUCAACUCUACAUGAUGAAUUGUAUGAUGAAUGCUACAAAGUUGAAAGCACAGGAGCAGUUGUCACCCUCAGUUCUAGCGUGUCAUUGUUAGACUUCUAUUGCUCAAGGCUACCGUCGGAUGGGUACUUUAAACCCGAUCCUACAUAUGUGAUUAAUGAGGAAACAGAAACCUGCACGCUACAACUUCCCAAAAGCUCGCCACUGCAAGGAAUUAUUAGUGUACAGGCCACAGGGUAAGAGAAAAAUAUUGAAGCAACUUGCAUGCCUUGAAGCUUGUAAAGAACUUCAUCGUGUGGGUGCCUUGACUGACAAUCUUGUUCCUGAUAUCGUGGAGGAAGAAACCAUCAACAAAGAAUUGGAAUGUAAAAUAAAAAUUGUUGAACAAUCAUUAUACUAUCCAUCAGAAUUUGUUAGUCAUUGCGGGAAUGAGUCAGAAGCAGUGUACUACUGCUACCUAGUUGAGUUGCGACAUGACUCUUACAACGAUUCCCAGCUUCAUGGGAUUAUACUUGCUGUUAGGACAAAGCUCAAGUUUGAUGAUGAAAUAUUGGCAUUUGACUUGGAUGUUGAUAGGAGGGGACGCUUGAAAGUUCAACUUAAUUAUAGUAAAGUUGUUAUAUUUACUUCUGAAGAGAUUCGACGGUGUCAAAGAUUUCAAGUGAGUGUCUUCAGAAUUCUUCGUGACCCCGAUCUAAGUAAACUGCAGGAAGUUUUGGCUGCUGUUCAAUCACCUAUUGGUUCUGCAGUAUCCGAUUAUCUGUUGCUCCCAUCUGUGGGUACACCCCCCGAAAUAAAUUGGCAAUGUGUGAAUUCUUUGCUGUUUCCGUCUCAAGUUCUUGGGGAUAAGCAUAUGGAUUGGUGUUCUACUCAAGGUCGCAGACGCUGUGUGAACACCAUAAGUGAGGUGGUAUGUAGCUGCAUGUUGGAGAACUCAUUGGUAUGUACACCUCAUAAUGGACGUAUAUACUGCAUAAACGGUUUUUUGGAGAAUUUGGAUUGCAACUCAUUAAGGGAUGUGAGAAGUGAAGAAUCUAUUACCUACAGAGAACACUACAGAAAGCGGUAUGGGAUCAACAUAUGCUUUGAAGAAGUACCACUUCUUAGGGGAAAACAUAUUUCUAAGGAAGCUAAAGAUUCAUCUGUUGCAUUGCCUCCUGAACUUUGUUCCCUCAUCAUGUCACCUCUCUUUAUAUCUACCCUUAAUACCUAUUCAUAUGUUCCUUCGAUUAUGCAUCAGAUUGAGUCCUUGAUUAUGGCCUCAAACUUGAAAAAAAUGCAUUUGGAUCACUGCACACAAAAUGUUGUUAUUCCAACUGCUAAGAUUUUGGAAGCAAUGACAACGAAGAAUUGUCUCGAGAAGUUUCAUUUGGAAUCACUUGAGACACUUGGAGACUCUUUUCUCAAAUAUGCUGCCAGUAUAAAGCUGUUCAAGACUUAUGAAAAUGAUCAUCAAGGUCUUCUCACCGUUAAGAGAAAACAAAUCAUUUCCAACGCUACACUAUGCAGGCUUGGAUGUGCUCGUAAAAUGCCGGGAUUUAUCCGUAAUGAACCAUUCGUUCUUAAAACAUGGAUUAUUCCUGGUGAUAAUUCUCAAGUUCACAGCUUCGACGAAGAGCUACUAACGUCCUCAGUUAAAAUGUAUAGUAGGGGAAAACAGAAGAUUAAAAGUAAGAGAGUAGCUGAUGUGGUCGAGGCACUAAUAGGUGCCUACCUCAGCUCGGGUGGGGAAGUAGCGGCUUUGUCAUUUAUGAAAUGGCUUGGAGUGGACAUCAAUUUUGUUGAUGCACCUACGUCAAGGCACUUUCCCGUGAAUGCAGAGAAGCUAGUUAACGUCAGAUACUUGGAAUCCCUGCUACAUUACAAGUUCAAUGAUCCUUCUCUGCUUGUUGAAGCGCUAAGUCAUGGAUCUUGCAUGCUACCUGAUAUUCCACGAUGCUAUAAGCGAUUGGAAUUUCUUGGAGAUGCAGUGCUAGAUUACGUUGUUACAACACAUCUCUAUUUCAAAUAUCUGGGACUAACUCCAGGACUUAUUACUGAUUUGAGGUCUGCCUCCGUAAACAAUGAAUGUUAUGCUCUAUCUGCAGUUAAGGCUGGCCUGCACGAUCACAUUCUUUAUGACCCGCUAGUUCUGCAAAGGCAUAUAUCUAGUACUGUCGAGAAUUUCAAGAAAUUGAACCUUGGCUGAAACUACUUACCCGAAGGUGCUUGCAGAUGUUAUCGAGUCCCUUGCUGGUGCAAUCUUUGUUGAUUCUGGUUUCAACCAAGACACUACAUUUCAGUGCAUACGACCUCUUUUGGAACCGUUGAUUACACCUCAGACGCUAAAACUCCAUCCAGCAAGAGAGUUACGCGAACUAUGUCACCAGAAAGGUUAUAUAAAGAAGAAGAAUGACGUCUUUCGUGAGAAUGGUAUUGUAUCUAUUACAGUAGAGGUUGAAGCUAAUGGUGUUAUUCACAAGGACUCGAACUCGGGACGAAACAGAAAAAUGGCUGAGAAGGUGGCUAGCAAAUAUGUGCUCAAGUCUCUCAAAGAAUAUCCAUCAGUAUAGUUGUUUCUUCUGCUACUUCAGUUGACUAAACUCUUAAGAGAUUUGGUUUGAUUCUCACUAUCGUAAAUGGUAUGCAGAUAUUCUCCGUCAUAUUUCUGGGAUAUUGGUGCCUUUUCCGUCCCAAAUCUAGAGCAUAUAUACCUUUAUCUUCACUCUAACGGAUGACUGAAUAGGAGCACAUGGCACAAUCUUAUUCGUCGAUUUGAUAUUUAAUAAGAGUCGAAUCGGCUGAUAAGAUUAUGACACGUGUAUGUCCGUUAGCAUAAAGAAUAUAGAUGCUUUAGUUUUUAGAUGAUCCAAAAGUAUGAUGAAAAGAAUAUAUGAAUACCAUUUAUGAUAGUUUAGGAAUAUAUUGUCUUUUUCCCCCUGAAUGUACUAUUGUAAUUGUUAUUGAUAAAAAUGCUCAUUUUAUGUACCAAUAGUUUUAUUGUAA